rnacentral:rRNA from 1 species
UACGUAGGGCGCAAGCGUUGUCCGGAAUUAUUGGGCGUAAAGAGCUCGUAGGCGGUUUGUCGCGUCUGCUGUGAAAACCUAAGGCUCAACCUUGGGCUUGCAGUGGGUACGGGCAGACUAGAGUGCGGUCAGGGGUGACUGGAAUUCCUGGUGUAGCGGUGGAAUGCGCAGAUAUCAGGAGGAACACCGAUGGCGAAGGCAGGUCACUGGGCCGCAACUGAC